CCUCGCUCUGUUCCCUCUGCGGAUCUGAACACAGAGCACGUUGUUCUCCAAUCCUUCACAGGACGCGGGGGCCUGGCUCUGGUUCCCAGUGCUCAGCGAGCCAAGCAGAUGGCCGCGAAAUCCAGAGGUGGCCCGGUUAUCAUGACGCCUGGGUCCCCCCCAUGAGGACCCAUGAGGCUCUGAGGUCCUUUCCAGACCUCAGAGCGCCUCGCUGUGCUCCAGGUGGUUCUGGAGACUUCCUGCAGAGCGCCGGCAUGUACAGAGAGAUGGGACAUCCUGAGCCCAGUUCAGAGUUGGUGAAACUGAGGUCUGGACGGGGACUACAAGACCCUUGAGCUGGAGAACACGUCGAUCCAAUUUUCCGAUGUUUGUGAGUACUUGCGGGCGUGGGGCUGGGUGCUGGAGAUAGUGUCUGGAGAGUGUGAUCUGCUUUUAGGUAUCUUUUAUCUGAGUCCAGGGGUGGAGACAAAUGUGUAAACUCUCCCAAGUAAAAGCAAACUGGGAACCGGGAGAAAGGCUGAGAAACGGAGGAAAUGGGAGCCCCGAGAGCUGAUGUAAGAAGAAUGCUUGAUCUCCUCCGGGGAGGCCUUUGUGCAAGGCUUCCCGGUGCGUCCUCCGAUUAAGGCUCCUGAUAAGCAGGCUGAAAUCUGAUCAUGGGGAGGAGGCAGAGAACUUUCCAGACGGAGGGAGCACCACGUGCAAAAGCUGGUAUGAUGGACCAAGCAAGGUAUGCGGCCACAGUCAGAGAGAAAAGGUCACUGUGGCCACAGAACCCAAGCGGGAGGCGGGGCCGGCUAGCCACGCCCCCGCUCCAGGGACUCUAGCCACGCCCCCUGCACCAGGGCUGAGGCAGGACCCAGGGAGCGUGUGUUUUGAAAACACUGCACUCUUUGCUGAGUGUGCAGUGCGUGGAGGGAGCUGGAGGGCAGAAGAGAGAUAUGUUGAGGGCUACUAUAGGCAUCCAGGCAAGAGGCGACAGUACAGGCGGGCCCGGCACAGAGAAGCAGCGAGGAUUGGGGAGGAGAAGUGGGAUUUACGUAGGAAAUCUCCGGACCCUUGCUGGUGAUGGGGGANNNNNNNNNNNNNCCCCCCCCCCGCUCCAGGGACUCUAGCCACGCCCCCUGCACCAGGGCUGAGGCAGGACCCAGGGAGCGUGUGUUUUGAAAACACUGCACUCUUUGCUGAGUGUGCAGUGCGUGGAGGGAGCUGGAGGGCAGAAGAGAGAUAUGUUGAGGGCUACUAUAGGCAUCCAGGCAAGAGGCGACAGUACAGGCGGGCCCGGCACAGAGAAGCAGCGAGGAUUGGGGAGGAGAAGUGGGAUUUACGUAGGAAAUCUCCGGACCCUUGCUGGUGAUGGGGGAGAGGGGGCUAGGGAGAGAAGGGGUGCAGGGAAGCCAGACUACCGUGAUGGGACCUUGGGAGAGGAGGCAUGGGGAGGAGGGGAGAGGAAGAAUCUGCAAUCACAAAAUGCUUCUGGAGGCGGGUUAGUCAGUGCCCUGUUCAUUUGCAGAUGGGGAAACUGGGGUACUUAAAAGCAAUGUGCCUCUUCUAAUGCAGUGAGGUUGCUGGGAGCAGAAUUCAGGUCCCAUAUGAUGGAUGAUUAGACAUCAGCUAUAAUCCAACCAGGCGGAAAACCUCAUUCAUUCGUUCCUUCGUUCAUUCAUUCAUUCAUCCAUGCUUUCGUUCAUUCUUUCAUUUGUCCAUUCAUUGUCCCAUUUUUUCAUUCAAUAAACAUUUUGUAUUCCAUUUCCAUAGAGAUGGAAUAUAGAGAUGAACGCGUCCCUGUUCCGGCUCUCAAGGAUUUCUUGGUGGGGAAGACAGACACACAGACUUGCCAUCAUAACCAGGAUGGGUGAGGAUCCAAGGGGGAUCCACUCCUCCCCAGGGCAAGCACAGAGAGAGGAGUAUUCAUCCUGCCUUGGGGGUGCAUCUCCAGAAGCUUCAAGAAGGAGGUGGUGUUUUGAGCUGACUUUCUCAGUCUGUGCUUGCUGGGGGUCCAGGGCAGGGAAGCAAAGUCAGGCAUCAGGUGUGGCAGGUGCGAGGCUCAGGGCCAGGAAAGUGCACAGGGCACAUUCAGAAGUGGAAGAAGCAGCAGUUUCAAUGGAGGGUAGAGGCAGCAAGCAGGGCUGGCCAAGGACCAGGGUCAGAUAGGUGUGCUCCAGAGGUGGAGUGUGGUUCUCAGGUAAACCUCCCUCAAAGCCAAGACCAGCCCUGCAGCUGGAGGCUUUGCUCGUUGUUAACUGGAAGCCUCCUUCUGCACAGUAAAACAUUAACAUCCUCCGGGAUACAAAAACAAUGGGGCCCUCAUUUGCUUUUCCCGUGGGCUGCGACACUACCUCAUUUAACUGAGAGGCAGCUGAGGGUUCUGGGUGACCAGGGCACUCGGGAACACCCUGGGUCUGGGUACAGACUCCAACUCCAUGCAACCCUGGAUAAGUCACCUUACUCUCUCGGUGUCCUCACCGGUAAUGUGGGGGUAAGUCCAGGAUUGGGGAGACGAACACGUGCACAGUGUUUAGAAACGUCUCAUUGAAUGUUAGGUAUGUGUAUUGACUUCACAAUAAUCCGGGAAGAAACAUGCCUCUACCAUCAUCUCUAAAGAUGGGAAAGUUGGGGGCUUGAAAAGAAUAUAACUUGACCAGAGUUUCACAAACAGAGGUAGGUAGAGCUGGGAAAUGAACCCAGGUCCCAGGUUCUUAAGUAUUCUGCUAUUCUGAAUCUGAUCUAAAUCUUUUUUUUUAAUUUUUUUAACGUUUAUUUGUUUUUGAGACAGAGACAGAGCCUGAACGGGGGAGGCGCAAAGAGAGAGAGGGAGACACAGAAUCUGAAGCAGGGUCCAGGCUCCGAGCUGUCAGCACAGAGCCCAACAUGGGGCUUGAACCCACGGGCCGUGAGAUCAUGACCUGAGCUAAAGUUGGACGCUUCACCGACUGAGCCACCCAGGCACCCCUAAAUCUUUUUUUAAUGUUUAUUUAUAUUACAGACAGACCGAGACAGAGACAGAAGUGGGAGAGGGGCAGAGAGAGCGGGAGACAUGGAAUCCGAAGCAGGCUCCAGGGUCCGAGCUGUCAGCGCAGAGCCCGAUGUGGAGCUCAAACUCACCAGCACUGAGAUCAUGACCUGAGCUGAAGUCCGAUGUUUAACCGACUGAGCCACCCAGGUGCCCCCUGAUCUAAAUCUUAAGGUCAAGGCUACAAUCAGGGGAUUCUAGAUCAGGGAAUCCAGUUUCAAGCUGGAAAAGGAUGUAGUUGGCCCCCCAUCAAAGCAGGGUGGGCAUUGUCAUCAGGCACAUCCAGGGACAAGGGGCUUGGCAUCUGGGCCACACAAUUGCUUUUCCAGAACUGGGCAUGGCCGUGGUGGGGAUAGGCAGCUGUAGGUUCAGAUCCUAGCUCUGGCCACUUCCUGGCUGAAUGACCUUGGACGAGGCACUAACAUCUCUGAGCCUCAGUUUACCCAUCUGUGAAGUGAGGCAGCUGGCCAGCGCCGAUGUGACCUCUAAAGUAACAAAAGCCUGCGCGGCUAGUUCAGAAAAGGGCAUCGUCACGUCUCCCUGAGAUCGGCUUCGCUGCGCCCUGCGGCCACCUAACCUCUCUGAGACACCGGGUUACUUGCCUGAUAAGCGGAGUUAAAGUAAGCAGUGCCCUGCCUCCCUCUCAGAGUUAGUGUCUGUGCACACGACAUGGCUUGUCCUUCCCCGCUGAUGCCUUUGGGCCAGGCCGCAUCUCGGGAUCCUCGUCUGCAACACGGGCACACCAAUGCCAGGUUUGCAGAAUUUGACUGAAUUGGAGGCAACAUACGCUGAGCGUCGGGCACACAGUAGGCCUGCAGUUAAUAGGAAAUACCGCUCGUAACACCAACAAGAGCUGAUAUUCGAGGGCGUCUUUUUUUGGGCCGGGCGCUGUGCCGGCGUUAUGCGUCCUGAGCUCGUAGCAUAACUCGGGUGAAAUGUGCAAAGGUGCUUUAUAAAGGGUGAAGUCCCGCGUGCACACACAGGACCCGCGCGGAGUCAUUGAGUGUCUCCGGGACCUCUUUAGGAGCAGGGACCCUGUACGUGGAGACUUCACCGUCACCACCGCACAUGGUGGGCGGCCCGGCUCCCCACCCGAAAAGUACUCAUUUGUUAGGAUUCGAGACCCGCGCGCUGUAGCAAAGUCCUCGGCUUCUUUUCAAGUUCCAAGAGCACGUAAUGACGGCCUUUUCCUCCAUUCAUAAACCACAUAUGGAAUUAAUAGCCACUGGAAUCAAACCAGACCAGGCUGGGUUUAUUCGCCAGAAACAAUGAGACGUUAAGAAACCAAGGCCGGGAGAGGCAGGGAAGGGCUUUAACAAGCUUCUAGGUGGGAUUUUUUUUUUAUCCCCCCUCCCUGUUUACUUUAUUGAAUCUGGUCCUCGCUGAUUUGGUUACAGCCUGUGAUUUCAGCUUAUGAUUCAAUAAGCCAUUUGAAAGCUUGUAAAUAGCACCGUUCUGCUAUCUGCUCCCUCCUCCCCAAGGGGGUUGCCACUGAGCAAAGGGGGAGCUUGCUCCCCCUCGCAGCUGGUUGGGCGGCCCUUGGAGGGAGGUUCUGAAGCGGGGGAUGCUGAACCGAGUGGAUCCGGGGAGGGGUCUUGACCGUCGGAAAAGGUGGACUCAGCCUCAAGCAUUGACUGGAAAACAGGGAGCAGCCAAUAACAUGAGGACUUCCUCCACUCCUGACAUGACCUUGUCUGGGCAUUCCUGACCCUCCUUAUCACAACCUGGGUUGGGGACCCCACCGGUACAAGCCUGGCCGGCCCCUCGGGAGCCCGUAAGGGCCAUCACAGAGACUCGGACUCACAGAUUCUGUGAGUUCUCACAGCCAAAUAUCCCAGAGCUCCCUCGACACUCCCCUGUGUCCCUCCGGCACCUCCUCCGCCUGCCUCAACCCCCUGCUCACUGGCUAGCCUGCCAGGAGGAGGAGGAGAGACACAUGGAACAGGACCCCACCCCCAGCAAGCCCGGUCUGGAGCAGAGCCCCGUGCAGACCAGCGGAUGCACACAUGGACUCCGACAAGAUGAGCCCCAGACACAUAACUGCUCAGUAAGAUAUCGUUGAUGUGACGCACUGAUUUGGGGGUGGUUUGUUCCGCAGCUGUAACUAACCAAUACAUCAUCCGCUAGGGGCUUUUCAGCUGUGUUAACCAAAUGACCAAAUGGACAGGUGAAUGGCGCACUUCACUAAAUCCUCGGGUCCGUGAGCUGGAGAGGUCUUAGCAGUGGGAUUCUGUGCUUUGGGGGUCUCUGGGGCUUAAAUUCCUGGAGCAGAAGUUAGGCAUGAGUCUCUCCAGGGAAGCAGCAUGGUCGGUGCAGAAAGUCCAUGCUGAUCUUUGCCCCAUCCCGGGGCUGGCACCAGGCAGCUGAGUGCGAGGGAAAGUAGGAGCUGAGGUGUAAGCAAUUGAACCAGGACACCUCCUCAUGACUCCCAUGCCCACAAGGAAAAGCCCAAAUGCCGUGGAGGGACCUCCAGGCUCCAGCUUUCUAUAUCUUGUGGCUUCUUCUACUGCUUAUACAGCACCAUAGUCCCUAAGGUGGGGCGCACAAGUCUGCCAAAUGGUCUCCAAACACACCAAGCUUUUUCAUGGAUCCCUGCCUUUGCUCCUACCAUCUGCCUUGCCCGAUAUGCCCUUCCUCCUUUUGGCUACCUCAUCAACUCCUACUUGUACUGCAAAACCCAGCCAAUAUAGCCCUCUUGUGAAGUUAUCCCCAAACUUAGCUUACUCUUCCGAUGAUACUGAAGUAAUUCAACAGCAUGUCAGAUCACACCCCAUUCUCCCAAUUAUACUGUGAACUCUUCCCAAACAUGUUCAAUAUAAUUGAAGACAGAUGAAUGAAUGAAUGAAUGAAUGAAUGAGUUAUCAGUGUGGGUACCUUUCCAAUAAACAGGAUGGCUCUGCAAAAUACCAUGGGUUCAGAUGCAGAUAAUUGUUAUUCCAUGACACUAGGCUGGUUUCAUUGUUUCUCAGGUCUCAGUUUCCCCGUCUGUAAAGUGGGACCACAGAGUGAUGAUGUAAUGGCAUUCCACGCCCAGGGGAAGGACUCCCUCUCUUCCCUUUUUCAGAGAACUCGAAGCCCUCCUCUUCUGGGGGUCCCUGCCUCCUGGGCCUCCUUUCUGGGACCUCUCCCAGAGGCGAGAGGUCCCAGGAGGAUGGGAAUCAGAGGGAGGCCGGAGUUCAAGAUUCUCUGAAGGCAGCUUUCCCUGUAUGAGAAGAUCUCUGUGAGCAGUGUGAUAGCAUCAUCAUACUCUAAUGAGGACCUUCCAUUCAUUAUCUCACAGCAGUCCGAUUAUCCCCAUUUUACAGAUGAGGACACUGAGGUUCAGGGAGGUGACAGGACCUGGCAAGAUUGCUUUCUUGGGUGCUCCCUCUCUCUCCUCCGUGUUCUAAGGAUCUUUUAUCUUCGACCUUGUGUCUCUGUGCAGCUAGUCUUGGGGAAACCAUUUUUUUUAUUUGGAACUGAUCUCAACGAACCCACGGUUUGGGUUUCCCGGGUUCCUGACUGCUCCCAGAGACCAAGGGGGAGAGGGUGGGAAGAAGGACCCAAAAGGCUUGCAGUGGACUUAGUGAGGCAUUUCUGUAUGUAUCAGCACACCGUGAUGGGUUGUCCCCACUUCCCAAAUUCCCACACUUGACGGACAUUUCUUCAGUGCCUAGUGUUCUCCAGGCUCUGUGCGGGGAGGAGGAGCUGCUGAAAUGAAUGUCACUGUCGUGCCCCCAAGAGCUUCCCAGUCUGAUGGCUGAGGCAGCCACGAAGGCAAGCUUCUAGAGGCCGUUUAUCUAAAGACAGUAGCCAAUGACACUUGGGAGUGGGAAGCCAUUAGGGCAUCAUCCUGAUGCCAACACCAGUCAAUUGCUCAUGGCUGCCUGGGGCUCCAGGGCUUGAGAAGAAAGGUGCUGUGAUUGAUUAGCAAUGUCUGCCAGGUGCAUGGCUAGGAGAGUUCUGGCCUGUGUGCCCGUGAUGUGCCCGUAAUCUUCCACCCCUGCUUGAGAGAAUGCGACCCUUCCCAUUGGUGCAGCAGCCAACCUAGUCAGUAGGCUUGGAGACAGCCAUGAGCACUGGAGGUUUCUCCAAUCCCGAUCCGAGUGUAGGCCAUAGAGUCUUGGAAGGAGGAGGAAUUCUGCCCCUGGGAGAAUCUAGAAGGCUCUUCAGAGGUACUGACAAGUGAGCCAAGUGCGAAGGGUAAGAUUUUAACACGUAUAAGUGGAUCCCACUGGUGUUUUUUGAGCACCUGCUGUGUUCCGUGUAUUUUCCAGGUGGGGAAGAUAGCAGAGAGGACCUUCCAGGCAGCCUGACCAGCCAAAGCAAACGGCACAUGGGAUGUCUUGGAUGCAGUAUGGCAAGGGUGACCAGAGAAAGGAGUGUGAGGACAGCUGGGAGGGGCAGCUUGUGAAGGUUCUGGAGAGCGGAGUGCGGCUUUCAUCCCACAGACCCUGGGAGCAAGGGGCGGGGGGACCUUGCACUUGAGCACAAUUUCUCUGCCUCCUUACAAAGGGGCCACCUGUGAGGGGGUAGCUGCCGGGCUGAGGAAUCUCCUCCCCGAGUGUUCUCACCAGGCUGGAGGACCAAGCUCUUGCAGCCAUGGGGACGUGCUGCUAUUUUAAACCACCUGCUAACGCCUGCCUGCCUCCCCCGCUUCUGCCUUGACAUGCGGCUCCUGUGACAGAGAGCCCAGUGUUGCCCCAGGAGACAACGCUGGGCAAAUGGAUGCAGAUGGCACACCCAGGCAGGGGACAGCUCUAGGGGCCCCAAGAGCCCUCCCACCCCUAGCAUCUGGCUUCCUUGACCCGCCAGCCUUGGGAGGGCCGGGGAACCCCACCUGCCUGCCCGGUUCAGGCAAGACAGGCAGACUGGGUCUCUCUUGGCCUCACAGUGUGACUACCAAAGUAAGGCUCUUAUCAGAGCCUCAGUUCCUUGUCUGUAAAAUGGGUAUAAUGACGAUACAAUCGGGGCGGUGGGGGAGCUCUUUAUGAGGCGUCUAGCACAGUGCCUGGGGUGGAGAUGGAGAAGACGCCCAAGAAGGGGAGAAUGCUUACGCUGGCCCUCACCACGCUCCCUCCCCCCUUCCUGCCUUAUUCUUCACCACCUGACAUUAUGUUGGGCAUCUGCUGGACCACGACAGCAAAGAUUUUGGAUACCUAGCCUCUCUGAAUAGUGCCCGAUGCAUGGUAGGUGCUCCGUAGGUAUUGAACAAGAGAAUGGUCUUUUUGAAAUGGCUUCACUUCUCUGAAAAGCGUUUAUCUGAGCGGAUGAGCAUUCAUUCAGCCAUUCAUUCAUUCAUUCAUUCGUUCACCCAUGGGUCCCCGAGCUCUUACGAUGCACCACACACUGUGUGAGGCUCUAAGAACCCAAAGCCCUGCGAGCGGGCACGACCCUUGUUAGAGCGUGGAAUCAAGAUGGCACCCGUUUUCAUCUCAUGAAGGAUCAGAUUUCUGAUUCUACAAGUGGACCAGAGAUAGACAUUUGACCUCAAAAUGGGUGCACCUUUACCCUGUCCCCUUGUCAUUCGUAAAGCAAGACCCAUAAAGCAAAAGCCACCACCAGAUCCAAUUGGGGAAGAAGGGGAGGGUGAAGGGGGAUGGCGGUCACCAGUCUAAGCGGGGCAAGGGGAGCAUUUGGUGAUGGAAAGCCAGGUGUUGUUCCAGCACCCAUAGUUCCCAGAGAAAUCUGGCCCACCCAGCCUGGUGGGAGAAAGUUAGCAAUUCCACCAGCAGGUUCUUGAACACGUCAUCCAUUGGCAGGACUGAGGUUGACCUAGAGAGAGAGGGAGACUCAGGAAGCCCUCUACCUACAGGGUGGGGCUGGGUGCGAGUGGCUUUUCUCAAGCAGGUCCAGACCCUCAGAGACUGAUUGUUCCUGGCCCAGAUAUCACCCUAACCCUUCCCAGUUAUAUUUCCCCAGGCCAACUGCACUCUGACAUUUCAACCAUAGCGUCUACGUCCAAAAUUCAAACUUUUAUAUGACAAUCCAUUUUUAACUAGAGGGUCUGCAGUCAGCCUGGCCUCCAACCCUGGCCAUGGUCUUUAUCAGCUGUGUGACCUCAGGAAAAUAACCUAACCUCUCUGUGCCUGUUGUUUUUAUCUGUGAAACAGGGUAACAAUAGUACCUACUUUCUUGUGUUCACAGGAGGAGAAAAUGAGUUGAUAUAUAUAAAAGCACUUCAAACAGUACUUGGUACUGUAGACAUUGGGUAAAAAAUUGCCGUUUAGAUUAUCACUAUCAUUUGAUUUGCAGACCCUGGUAUUAUUUAAUGAGAAGCCCAAUCUAGAGGUUAACAGGUAUAAGUCUUUUUGUAAAUGUUGUAUUUGCUUCGGGCAGUGGGAUGAACGGUUCUGAUUUCCAAAAGGGAUUGUUCUGGAGAUUCCGUCUAUGGCAGUAUUAGACCUCUACACCCCAGCCAUGGGCUCAGGGUGGUGGACACUUACUCCAUCACCCCUCAACACCAGACUUGCCUGUGUGGUUUGCUUUGGCCAAUGGGCUAUUAGCAGACGUGAUACAGGCAGUGGCUAGAGAUGUGACAGCACCCUUGCCAUCAAGGAGCCUCCUCCUCCAGGCUGGGCCCCGGAAUGAGACACAUGGAGCAUAUCUGAGCCAGACCUGCAGUCUGCAGCCAAGCUCCACUGAGCACAGCCGAGAUCAGUGCAAGGCUGACCCACCUGCAGACCCCUGAGCAAGAAAAAAUAAAUAUAUGUUAUUGACAGCUACUGAAAUGUGGAGGUCAUUUGUUACGCAGCAUUAUCAUGGUAGAAGCUAACCAAUAUAUCUGCUAAUGCAUUACCAUCAAGGGGUUCUUGUUUUUGAAAGAGACAAUGCAUGAAAGAUGUUUAGUUCAUAUACAACUAACUUUCUCCUCCUCCUCCUUCUCCUCCCUCCCCACAGCACAGCCAAAACUCUGUCUUCUCCUAACCUGAGGUCAAGUGCCCUCCAAGGGCCCAGCACAUACCCCCACCUGCUUCCCAACCUGCCUCUCCUUGAUGUUCUGAAGAAAUGAGAAAGAAGUGUUAAAUUUGUUCUUGGCUACUUUUCCUUGCAACUCCCAGAGGCCCUGCUUACAAACUGAAUCAGUUAUCAGCUAGUUAGGCUGGCGGUCCCCGGAGGUGCCGCUUGAAUACAGAUAGGGACCCAUGCAUUAUUCAGUGCGAAGACGGGGAGAAAUGAGCAAUGCGUCCAAAGCCAGAACAGCAGUGGCAGUAAGGGAAUAAUUAGCGAGCUGUCACUUGUCCCUGUCACUGUUUCCUCCCUUAACACAUGAGGGAAAAUAAAAAAAUAAAAAAAUAAUUUUUUUAAAGGAAGAAGAAAAAAGGCAGGGAAGAUCAUCUUGCUUCUCGAGGCAGCUGGUAGGUUAAAAUGUGACACAUAAAAAGGCUUGAAGCAAGGGCUCUGGUUCAGCUCACAAAAGCCAUGGCCUGGGGACCCCCCCAAUAUUUUAUCGAACUCCCCUUUCUGCUUGAUGAUUCAUGGGCACUGCCCCAGCCUGCCAUUCAGAUUUUCUGCACGUUUCCAUAGCACUGGGAAUUAAUUUCUCCCCUAUAAGGAGGAGGUGGGGAUGCUAGGAGGGGGUGGGAGGAAGAGCCGUGAGGGGCAGAGCCACCCCGGCCUGCAAAGGUUUGAGGUGACCUUCCAGGAGGAAACUGGGAUAAGGGUUGACAAGAGCUGUACUUGGCUCAUUUGGGGACUGUGCGAUUUGAUUAUUCAUGAGUUUACGCACACAGAAAGAAAUCAUUUUGUUGCGUGAGUCCUCGUCAUUUCUUGUGGAAGCUAUUUUUAUUUAUCUAUUAAUGUCUUGUUAGAAUUUUUUUUCUGUGGCACGUACUGGUUUGCUGCUUGGGGGUGUUGAGCCAGACAUGUGAGGGUCUGAGAUGUGCUGAUGGUGAGGCCAGUUUUCCCAAAGACUUCCUCUCACCUUUCCUCUGGAAAAAAAAAAUUACAGAAAGGGUAGUGUUGGGGGGAAUAGGGUUGAGAAUAUUUGCUUGCUUGAUUCAUGCCUCUGCUUUCCAUUAAAAACGAGCUGGUCACCUUCGGGUAGGAUGGUUGCUUUAUAAAGUUCUGCUAUGAAACUCAACAAGAUGGAAUGUGGAAGAUGCUUUGUAUAAGAUGAGGCAGAAAGACUCCCAACUGGUAAACAAGUCACCCUUCUUCAUAAAAAUCUGUCAGCUCCCUCACCGCAUAACGAGGGCCACUCAGGGUUGGAAGAUUUUGUCGUCAGAGUCCAGAGAAGAGGACUCGUUUACGAAGCCACUAGCCCAGAUUUAGCGAGUCCAUGGCAUGCAGACCACUGCUUCUCUACCCAGUGCCGGGGGCAGACAUCGCUAAUCGAUCCCAGAACCCUCGACCCACUGCAGACAGCAAAGGAUGCCCAAACACAGAGCUCUGUGCCAUAUGAGCUCCCUCAGCCCCCCUCACCCUUUCGGACUCUAGACCACUUUGCAUGUCUUUCCUUUGGCCUGGAAUGUUCCUUCCCCCUGGCUGCCACCCACCUGGGCUGCAUGCAUCCCCCCCGCCCCCCCCGCCGGAGCCUUCAGAAGCUAACCGUCUCAAGUCUUUGCAGGGGAAAUUAUUCCCUCCCCACUCACGCAUCCUUCUCUGUGAUAUCUUCACAUUUGCUGUGCAUGUUUAGAAAUGAAUGGCCAGCUUAAUUUGCCUUUUCUCUUCUUGAUUAGAUUGGAGGUCCAGGGGAGAGGCUGGGAGAUUUCGUCACCUCUCUGUUUCCAGCAGUCGGAACAGAGGUUGACACCUGGAAGGGAUCCAGUGAUGGUUUAUGGAAGGGAGGAAGGAACGAUUUGCUGUGUCUCUGGACAAACGAGGCUCCUCUCUGGGCCUGGUGUUCUGGCAUUCAGCCCAAGCUUUGACAGGGGUGACCUGGCUGUGUGCAGGCAGUUCUGGAGCUCUGGGGGCACAGGUGGGGGACACCACCCAGGCAGCCUCCUCUGUGUCUCUGUCACCAGCCUCGCAAAGCUGAUGCUGAGGGGAAAAGCAGGGAGAAUCUGACACGGGAGAGUCAAGGCCCUGUGGUCAGUGGGAGAAGGCAGGCAGGUGUGGAAUACAAUAGCUCAUGCUGAUGAUCCCAGAUAAAAACCCUUGGGUCAUGUGUAGGCUGAAAUACAGUCCCUAAAGAUACCAGGGAGCUACAAAUGUUACCUUGUAAGUAAAAAGGCCUUUGUAGAUAGGAUUAAAUUAGGGACAUUGAAAUGGGGAGGUGAUCCUGGAAUAUCUGGGUGGAUCCUAAGUGCCAUCACAUCUGUUGUAGGAGGGAGGCAGAGGGAGACUGCACACACAGAGGAGAAUGUGAUGUGACCACAAAGGCAGAAAUUGGAGUGAUGCAGCCACGAGCCAAGGGACAUCAGUAGCCACCAGAAGCUGGAAGAAGCCAGACCCUCCCGUAGAGCCUCUGGACACACCGUGGAC
rnacentral:lncRNA from 1 species